ensembl:lncRNA
GUUUGUAAUCGUACACUUCUCUCUAUUUAGACCCUUUCAAUUCAACCCAGAUUAGACGAAUGUUUUAGGACACCAUGUUUUGAGCAAGAUGAUUAUCAGAGGUGAGACGUAGCCAGGGGGGGUUCUCUAAGUUCAUUUGCACCCUUGUUGAUUGGAUUGUCUCUUUUCUGACAACAGGAAGGAGACGAAUGGUGGAGCAGAUGUUUUGAUGUUGCACACUGGAUCUGAGGAGAAGCAUUGAUGAAGCUCCGUUGCCGUGGAGACCACACUGAUGGCGAACAAGACGAAGAUCCAAGCUUCGGGACAGACGUCUUCUGACGAAGAACCCUUGAAUCCUAACGGCCACCGGCCGAGCCAGAAAGCAAAGAGGAGGGGCCCUGCAGAGAAGCAGCGGCGUCUUAGAGAUAAAAGGCGGGGCAACAAGGAGAAGAAGCAGGAGGGCGUUACGGUGAAGAGGAUGUACAGCGACGGGAAGCGGCGCUGGGAUAAGAAACAUUACUGCGUGUUCUGCCGGCAGCCACAGGUGAAGAUAGCUCGGCACCUGCUCACCAAACACGGCGACCAACAGGAAGUGGCGGCCGCCGGCAAGCUGCCGACCGGCUCCAAACAGCGCCACUUUCUGCUGGAGCAUCUACGCUGCAGGGGAAACUACAUGCACAACAUCGAGGUGAUCCGACAGGGCACCGGAGAGAUUGUCCCGUGGCGUCAGCCCUCAGAGGACGUUGAUGCCAGGAACUAUCUUCCCUGCCCGCUUUGCCUUGGUUUUUUCCUACGUGCUGAUCUCUGGAAACAUCAAGCUUCCUGUCGCAAGAAGAUGACCUCUGAGCCCCCAAAAGAGUUCACAACUAAGUUUACCUCUGACCUGACGAAGGACACAAACUCUGACUCCGCAGGUAAAUCAGCCUGUAAUCCAACAGCCGACCGGAGCGACGCGUCCACCGAGGAUGCACCUUCUGACCCCUCAGGAGACACAACUACCAAGGGCCAGACAUCUGACCCCACAGUGAAUCAAAACGAGACCUCUCACCCAGAGGCGGACCAGCCCAGGAAGCGCAACAGGGUCCAGGCCGCAGCAUCCCGCCUCCUCCCGAUUUCCAGCGGAGCAUCGGAGAGCUGCAGCGAAGUCCUGCACCGCAUGAACCAGGACCACGUCUCACACCAGGUCAAAUCUGAUUGGUUGAUUUGUAAAUACGGAAACAAGUUGAUGGGAAAUCAAGAUGGCAGCCAGAGGAGGUACGACUACGUCAGUCAGAAGCUGAGGGAGCUCGGCCGGUUCCUUCUAGCCGCUAAGUCUCUAGAUUCUGGGGUCCAGAACCUGCAGGACCUCCUUGCGCCGGGCCGCCUCGCCCUGUCUCUGUCCGCCGCUAGGAAGGCGGCCGGCUACCGGUGGAGUCGCCCGCCACUGGCGGUGAAAACCACGCUGAAAACUCUCUGUGAGAUUGCGAUCGGAGAGACUCUCCAGGACGGAGACGUGGAGGCCGCGGCCAAGACCACUGACUUCUACCACGUGCUGGGGAGGGAGUGGGACCAGCUGGGGCUGCAGAGCCCCGACUCCAACACAGACGAAGCGGUCCGAGCCAAGCUGAAGAAACGAUUGGUCCCAUCUAGAGGUGGGAAGUGUAAAGACCCCGCUGACCUCAGACCAGAGGUUUUGUCUCCAAGCAGACCCAGAACGUCGACCUACAUGAGUUCACGGGAGUCCAGGCUGCAGACCCCUGCUGUCCCUGUGGCUCCUGGAAAGGUCCAACGUCGACCCUGGUCUUCUGCUGAGAAGGAGGCGGUCUGGAGACAGCUGGGAGUCUACGUGCUGGUCCAGUCGGUUCCGGGGAAGGAAGUCUGCCAGCGCUGUCUAGACCUGGAGCCUGACCUCAGAGGGCGACACUGGAAAGACGUCAAGAACCAAGUCCACAACCAGAUCCAGAGCCAGAAGAAGCAGCAGUUCCAUACCCAGAUGGACCUUCAGGAGAACCAGGGGGAGCAGAGCCAGAACCAAAAUAAGCAGCAACAGUACCAGGACCACACCAACAAUCCGAAGAAGCAGCAGCAGUACCAGGGCCAGUUUGACAAUCAGGACCACCUUCAGACCCACAAGAAACAGCUGCACCACAUGGGCGAGCAGACUGACCUGGACCGCGACACUUCUGUUCUGACGGUUGUAGCUUAUGGACCUGACGGUCCACACCAAGGACUGCUGGACCCCCCUGUGAGUCCGUACCUCCAGCUGCUGGACGGGUCAGUCCAGUACCACACUGUCAGCAGACAUACGGACCAGAACAUGCUACAGGAGGUUCCACCAGGACAACCCCACAAUGCACACUCCGGACUGGUCUACUUCUGA